UCCUUUCUAAACUUUUGCAUAAAAAAGGUAUUUUAAUUCAACAUCGAGGUCAUAAACUCACUUGUCAAUUUGAUCUUUCUAAGUGAAUUAAGCUGUUAUCCCUAAAGUAACUUACUUCUUCUUUAGAAUUUCUAGGUAUCCAAACAUGUUUGUCUCCUCUUAAAAGAAAAGAUAAUUUUUCCCACCGCCCCAGUAAAAUACUUUUUCCUUUUGAUAAUCAGAAAAAAAUAUAAAGUUUUAUAGGGUCUUCUUGUCUAAAAGAGAUAUUUUAGCCUUCUUACUAAAAAGUAAAAUUUAUUUUUUUAUAUAGAAAAAAAUUCUCCCGGUUUACUCUUUCAUUCCAGUCCCAAAUUAAAAGA
rnacentral:rRNA from 1 species